rnacentral:lncRNA from 1 species
AACAAUGAUUGUUUAUGAGGAGAGGAACUAAGUGGCUAUGUGAAAGGGGUGGAAUGAAGAUGUAUACUGUUUUAUUCAUCUUGAUUUUUUUAACUAUAUGCAUAUAUCACCUAUUCAAACUGUUAAAUUUUUAGUUUGGCUUGCUUUAGGCAUGGUGCUUUCUUACUGAGGUAACCAGUGGUAUUUUUCCUGAACAAUCUUCCAAUACUAGAAUAUAUUAUGAAUCCCUUA